AACGAACGCUGGCGGCAGGCUUAACACAUGCAAGUCGAACGCCCCGCAAGGGGAGUGGCAGACGGGUGAGUAACGCGUGGGAAUCUACCCAGUUCUACGGAACAACUGAGGGAAACUUCAGCUAAUACCGUAUACGCCCUACGGGGGAAAGAUUUAUCGGAAUUGGAUGAGCCCGCGUUGGAUUAGCUAGUUGGUGAGGUAACGGCUCACCAAGGCGACGAUCCAUAGCUGGUCUGAGAGGAUGAUCAGCCACACUGGGACUGAGACACGGCCCAGACGCCUACGGGAGGCAGCAGUGGGGAAUAUUGGACAAUGGGCGCAAGCCUGAUCCAGCCAUGCCGCGUGAGUGAUGAAGGCCUUAGGGUUGUAAAGCUCUUUCAGUGGGGACGAUAAUGACGGUACCCACAGAAGAAGCCCCGGCUAACUUCGUGCCAGCCGCCGCAGUAACAC
rnacentral:rRNA from 1 species